CCGGGCCAGCCUGGCGUGCCGCGGGAAGAAGCUGCGUCCCUUGCCCCGUCGCCGCGUGGCGCAAGAAGAGGCCGAGACAAUGAUUCAGGCUGACAACAGGUUGUCUGGAGAGUUGGCUGGUGGACAAACUGAGCCUCAGGAAACAGCUUCAAGGUCUCAUACCUUCAAAAACAAGUCUUUUAAAAAAUCUAGAAUCUGUGGAAUCUGCAAACAAGUAAUUGACAGCCAAGGAAUUUCUUGCAGAGUUUGCAAAUAUGCCUGCCACAGGAAAUGUGAAGAAAAG
rnacentral:lncRNA from 1 species